UGAGCCGGGAACCUACUGCAGAGAGGUCCUGUGCGGUGGGUGUGUGCUUCCAGUUCUAGUUCGCCUCCGCUUGCCGCCUCCCGGGCCGAACUUCGGGUCCCAAAUCCGGCUCUCAGAGGAUCCUGAGACCCCUACCCAGCCCCACAGCCCAUUUCCAGCUGCCAGUCACUUCAGGCUGGAACCCAGGACCCGACCCGGUUUACCUCCGCGUCGGUCCCGGCUGAGACAGGUCAGGUGCAGGUGAGGCACUCGCUCCGCCUGACCUUUCCUGUGCUCCCACCGGCCAUCCCGGCUCCUUCGCCGCCCCCGUCAUGGCCCAGAAGCCGAAGGUCGACCCCCACGUCGGGCGGCUAGGGUACCUGCAGGCUCUGGUCACAGAGUUCCAGGAGACCGAGAGCCAAGAUGCCAAGGAGCAAGUCCUUGCUAAUCUUGCCAACUUCGCCUAUGAUCCUGGCAACUAUCAAUAUCUGCGACAACUUCAAGUCCUGGAUCUAUUCCUCGAUUCGCUGUCCGAAGAGAAUGAAAACUUAGUGAAGUUUGCUAUUGGCGCACCCCACGUCCCCGUCGGCUGCUUCCCGCGGUGGGGCAGAAAUACCCAUCUCAGACCUUGCAGGGGCCCAGCCAAAGGAGGAUCCCAAAUACUGAGACGCCCCUUCCAGCGUGGAAGCCGGGGCUCCUGCAACCUGUGGGACCGGCUCUGCAGCCUGCCUGGUGCAAAGCAGCACCAGCCAAUGCCUGGGCCGUGGGGCCGCCAGGAAAUGGUACUGGAGAAGGCCAGAAGAGGGUGUGGAUCCUCUGGAGCAGGAGUUACAGGCAGUUGUGAGCCACCUGACAUGGGUGCUAUGAACAGAACUUGGGUCCACUGGAAGAGCAAGUACUCUUAACUGAGCCAUCUUUCUCAAAGACAUGCCUAAUAGUUCUCUUUGCCAGUAAGGAAGCAGAGGCCCAGCAGACAUGCCAAAGGAAGCCCCGUCAGAGCUCAGACCAGUGGGAAAGCAAUACGGAUAUUUUUUUGAGAUGGAUCUCAACUAGCCCAGGCUGACCUUGAACUUGCUAUGUAAAGGAGAGUGACCAUGAACCCAAUCUUCCUUCCAACUGGUGAGUGGUGGGAUUUACAGGUAUGCACCACCAUGGCCCACAAGAACUGUGCUUUGAACUGGAAUCUUUUUUCCAGCAGUGUUGUAUGAAUCCCUGAGCUGCAUUCCCCAGUCAGCCAUCACAAGGAUAAAACAAGUCCACAAGGUACAGUGUAGCUAGCACUGAUGUUCAUAGGUCAGAUGUAGUAAAAGCAUUUUCAUGUGGCACUUCACUUUAUAAUGAGCUUAUUACAACAGCACACCAUCUGUACUAGUGCCAUCUGCUAACAGGGAAGAAAAAAAGGAAGCAACUCAACCAUUCCAAAGGAAUCAGCCCUAUAUAUCACCACACCCCUUGCACAAGAGUCAAGGGCUACUGAGUUCCAUCUGAGCAGGUCCUACAGUGUUAUCACGUGGCACUAUGUGAGAACACCCUUGCCCUUGUAUCUACCUAAUAUCCACGCCACUAUGUGCCAGACCGAUGGGAGACAAAUCUAAAUACGUUCUUUUUGACAUGUCCAUGAUUACUAGGUGAGGCUAUUCUGGUUUUCUGUGUGAAGUGGGGGGUCUCAUAAUGUAACACUGGCUGGCUGGAACUAUGUAGACCAGGCUGGUCUGUAACUCAGAGAUCCACCUGCCUCUGCCUCACGAAGGCUGAGAUUAAAGUCCUGUGCCAUCACACCUUGACUUUACCCCAUUUUCUGAGACAGGGUCUCUCACUGAACCUACUGUUUUGACUAUGCUGCCUAGUCAACAAACCUGUGAUCCACUUAUCUCCACCCUCCAGCUCUGGGGUUACUGGUAUAUACCACACAUGCCCUUUAUGUGGGUGGUGGGGACCUGAACUCUGGUCCUCACACAUGCACAAGUACUUUACCUACUGACCCCCCCAAACAACCAAGCAUAUUAUUAAAGUUUUCUCUUGUAGCAUGGUGCAGUGGUAUGAACACCAUCUCAGCUACUUGGUAGUCUGAGAAGUGAGGACCUUAAGCUCAGAAGUUUUGAGGCUACCCUAGGCAACUUGGUAAGACCCUAAUUCAAAUAAUCAUAACCUCUGCCAGGCAUGGUGACCUACCCUGUAAUCCCAAACUCAGAAGUGCCAUGAGUUCAAGACCAGCCUGAGCUACCUAGUGAAUUCUAGGCCAGGGAUAGCUAGUUAAGUAGACCCUGUCUCAUAAAAGCCUCCUGUUAGGGGCUGGAGAGAUGGCUCAGCAGUUAAAAAGCACUUGCUCUUCUUGUUGAGAACCUACAUGGUGGUGGUAGUAGAUGGAUAACAAACAACCAGAAGACAGGAGUUUUGCAGAGUUGCUCAGGCUGGCCUUAAAUUCUUGGACUCAAGUGACUUGCAACCUAGGAGUUCCAGAGUAACUGAACUAUAAGCAUGUCUGGCUUGAAAAAAUAGAGAAAGAAAAUUAAGUGAACAUAGACUCAGUGUCGUUCUCUUAUGAUUAUUUUCCAGUGCUGAUCUGUCAUAUUUGUGAUACUAUCAUAAAGAUUCAAUUACUUUAUGCUAUAAGACACUUUAUUUGCUAAAAUAAAGAUCUCAGGGCUGGAGAGAUGGCUCAGCUGUUAAGAGCACUGACUGCUCUUGCAGAGGACCCAGGUUCAAUUCCCAGCACCCACAUGGCAGCUACAAACCGUCCUUAACUCCAGUUCCAGGGGAAUCCGAAGUCCUCUUCUGACCUCUGCGGCACUGCAGAACACGGAUGUAUGACUUGUCUCUGUAUUCCUAUAAUCCUAGCACUCAUGAGGGUGCUGGGAUUUCUUUUUAAAAGAAAUAAAGAUCUCUUUAGCUGGGCCUG